GGGAGCAGAGUGGUUCUGUAGCAUC
rnacentral:piRNA from 1 species